rnacentral:rRNA from 1 species
AGAGUUUGAUCCUGGCUCAGAACGAACGCUGGCGGCAGGCCUAACACAUGCAAGUCGAGCGCUCACUUCGGUGGGAGCGGCGGACGGGUUAGUAACGCGUGGGAACGUGCCCUUCUCUACGGAAUAGCCAUUGGAAACGAUGAGUAAUACCGUAUACGCCCUUUGGGGGAAAGAUUUAUCGGAGAAGGAUCGGCCCGCGUUAGAUUAGAUAGUUGGUGGGGUAACGGCCUACCAAGUCUACGAUCUAUAGCUGGUUUUAGAGGAUGAUCAGCAACACUGGGACUGAGACACGGCCCAGACUCCUACGGGAGGCAGCAGUGGGGAAUCUUAGACAAUGGGCGCAAGCCUGAUCUAGCCAUGCCGCGUGUGUGAUGAAGGCCCUAGGGUCGUAAAGCACUUUCGCCAGGGAUGAUAAUGACAGUACCUGGUAAAGAAACCCCGGCUAACUCCGUGCCAGCAGCCGCGGUAAUACGGAGGGGGUUAGCGUUGUUCGGAAUUACUGGGCGUAAAGCGCGCGUAGGCGGAUUGGAAAGUUGGGGGUGAAAUCCCGGGGCUCAACCCCGGAACUGCCCCCAAAACUAUCAGUCUAGAGUUCGAGAGAGGUGAGUGGAAUUCCGAGUGUAGAGGUGAAAUUCGUAGAUAUUCGGAGGAACACCAGUGGCGAAGGCGGCUCACUGGCUCGAUACUGACGCUGAGGUGCGAAAGUGUGGGGAGCAAACAGGAUUAGAUACCCUGGUAGUCCACACCGUAAACGAUGAAUGCCAGUCGUCGGGCAGUAUACUGUUCGGUGACACACCUAGCGGAUUAAGCAUUCCGCCUGGGGAGUACGGUCGCAAGAUUAAAACUCAAAGGAAUUUGACGGGGGCCCGCACAAGC